rnacentral:tRNA from 1 species
CGGGCAGUGGCGCAGUUUGGUAGCGCACCCGCUUUGGGAGCGGGGGGUCGCAGGUUCAAAUCCUGUCUGCCCGA